UGGGAGAUUUUACCCUCAACUCUCCUCUCAAGCAACAGCGAAGUCGGAGCGGCUGGGAGGGGGAAACCUCGCUUUAUCAGAGAGGAGAAAGAAGGAAGAAGUGUGAUACAGCUCUGAUUUUUAUUACAGAUGGUGCAAAGGGAAACGUCUUGUACGAAGCCAGCCCCUUCUCUCCCGUUCCGCGCAAAUUAAGGAGGCACCGAGAGUACAGCUCCGCUUUUACUCAAGAAGUUCCAACUCCGCAGACACCUUGCCAGGCAGCGGCUGACCAGCACCACCACCGCCGCCGCCUUCACGCCGCAGCCGGCUCCGUUCUGGGGUCAAACCCACCAAUAUCAGCAAUAAACUUGCAGAAGGAAAGUGGAUUCUUCACUGUCGGGAAAACCCCACUGAAGACAAAGAAGCCACACUGCCACCGCGUGUCUACUGUGUGGAACAGCACCUCCAAGCCUAAGCUGUGUUGCCACCGCAACAGAGGUGUUGAUUAUCUAGCCCACCUAUACCAAGAUGGCAGCCAAUGUUGGUCAUGUGUUGGCAACCUCCAAGUAAAAAACUCCCCUUGGAUCUCUCGUGAGCUGCAAACUGUUCAGCAGUUUUGAAUACUGUCACAGUC